rnacentral:rRNA from 1 species
UACAGAGGUCUCAAGCGUUGUUCGGAUUCAUUGGGCGUAAAGGGUGCGUAGGCGGCGCGGUAAGUCGGGUGUGAAAUCUCGGAGCUUAACUCCGAAACUGCAUUCGAUACUGCCGUGCUUGAGGACUGGAGAGGAGACUGGAAUUUACGGUGUAGCGGUGAAAUGCGUAGAUAUCGGGAGGAACACCGGUGGCGAAGGCGGCGACCUGGGACAAUACUGACGCUGAGGUGCGAAAGCGUGGGGAGCAAACAGG